CAUCCUUGAUCGGAAGGUCCGGGUAAUCUUUUGAAACUUCAUCGUGCUGGGGAUAGUCCCUUGCAAUUUUUGGACUUAAACGAGGAAUUCCUAGUAAGCGUGAGUCAUCAACUCGCGUUGAUUACGUCCCUGCCCUUUGUACACACCGCCCGUCGCUACUACCGAUUGAAUGGCUUAGUGAAUCCUUCGGAUUGGCUAUUUUUUUCUGGCAACAGAAUUAAACUGCUAAAAAGUUGGGCAAACUUGGUCAUUUAGAGGAAGUAAAAGUCGUAACAAGGUUUCCGUAGGUGAACCUGCGGAAGGAUCAUUAAAAAAUAUCGCUCGAUUGAGAGUGAUUUAAUAAUCAUCCUACCCUUUGUGAAUUUGUUGUUUGUAAUAAUUUUUUUUUGACGUGGAAUAAAAAAAAAAAUUAUUUAUGGUUUUGUCUAUCCCUAAAUUGGUUUGUUUGUUGUAAAAGACAAGUGAAUCAUUUAGGGAAUAGGCUUUCCUAAAUAAUUGAUUUUUUUUUUCCAAUGUCUUAAAAGACCUUUUUUUAAAAUUAAACUUUUGUAUUCAUUUGUCUAAAAUAAUUUUUAAAAUAAUUUAAAAACAACUUUUGACAAUGGAUCUCUUGGUUCUCGCAACGAUGAAGAACGCAGCAAAAUGCGAUAAGUAAUGUGAAUUGCAGAAUACGUGAAUCAUCAAAUCUUCGAACGCAUAUUGCAC
rnacentral:rRNA from 1 species